GGCUGAUCAGACCAAUACCCAGCUCGGAAGGCUCUACCACAGAUCUCUGGAUAUUGUGAUGAGGGUGCCAAUGGAGCAUGUGGGCUGUCCAUCUGUUAUCUGCUGCUUCCUAAUGACCAACCCACCUUUUUUGCAAUCAUAUAUCUCUUUGAUUACAUACUUUACAUGGUUUUUGAUCUAGAAUUUGUCCUAUUCAUGAAAGAUAAUUCAAUUAAGCACAAUUCAGUUAA